rnacentral:rRNA from 1 species
ACUCAAAGGAAUUGACGGGGACCCGCACAAGCGGUGGAGCAUGUGGUUUAAUUCGACGCAACGCGAAGAACCUUACCUGGGUUAAAUCCCAGACUGCCGCCUCAGAGAUGAGGCUUCCCUUCGGGGGGUCUGGGAAGGUGCUGCAUGGCUGUCGUCAGCUCGUGCCGUGAGGUGUUGGGUUAAGUCCCGCAACGAGCGCAACCCUUGCCACUAGUUGCCAGCAUUGAGUUGGGCACUCUAGUGGGACUGCCGGUGACAAACCGGAGGAAGGUGGGGAUGACGUCAAGUCAUCAUGGCCUUUAUGUCCAGGGCUACACACGUGCUACAAUGGCAGGAACAAAGCGCUGCAAACCCGCGAGGGGGAGCCAAUCGCAAAAAUCCUGUCUCAGUUCGGAUUGGAGUCUGCAACUCGACUCCAUGAAGGUGGAAUCGCUAGUAAUCGCGGAUCAGCACGCCGCGGUGAAUACGUUCCCGGGUCUUGUACACACCGCCCGU